rnacentral:pre_miRNA from 1 species
UGAUGACGAUGAUGAUGAUGAUGAUGAUGAUGAUGGUGAUGAUGAUGAUGACGAUGGUUAUCAUCAUCGUCAUCAUCAUCACUAUUAUCAACAGCA